rnacentral:rRNA from 1 species
AUUGAACGCUUGCGGCAGGCCUAACACAUGCAAGUCGAACGAGUGGCGGACGGGUGAGUAAUGUCUGGGAAACUGCCCGAUGGAGGGGGAUAACUACUGGAAACGGUAGCUAAUACCGCAUACCAUCGGAUGUGCCCAGAUGGGAUUAGCUUUUGGGUGGGGUAACGGCUCACCUAGGCGACGAUCCCUAGCUGUUCUGAGAGGAUGACCAGCAACACUGGAACUGAGACACGGGCCAGACUCCUACGGGAGGCAGCAGUGGGGAAUAUUGCACAAUGGGAGCAAGCCUGAGGCAGCCAUGCAGCGUGUAUGAAGAAGGCCUUCGGGUUGUAAAGUACUUUCAGCGGGGAGGCGUGACCAGCAGAAGAAGCACAGGCUAACUCCGUGCCAGCAGCCGCGGGAAUAC